GGACUACAAGGGUUUCUAAUCCUGUUUGCUCCCCACGCUGUCGCGUCUCAGCGUCAGCAACGAUCCAGAGGGCCGCCUUCGCCGCCGGUAUUCCUCCUGAUAUCUACGCAUUUCACCGCUACACCAGGAAUUCUACCCUCCUCUAUCGCGCUCGAGUCGGCCAGUUUCCAAUGCACUUCCGGAGGUAAGCUCCGGGCUUUCACAUCAGACUUAAUCGACCGCCUACACGCCCUUUACGCCCAGUCAAUCCGAACAACGCUUGCACCCUCCGUCUUACCGCGGCUGCUGGCAC
rnacentral:rRNA from 1 species